rnacentral:rRNA from 1 species
CCCGUCACAUCACGAAAGUGGAUUGUACUAGAAGUCUGCAGGCUAACCCGCAAGGGAGGCAGCGGCCCAAGGUGUGAUUCAUGAUUGGGGUG